rnacentral:lncRNA from 1 species
UUCUGUGGCGGGUUGGGAAGGGUGAUUACAUCAACAUCUGGAACGACCCCUGGUUACCUGGAAGAGAGAAUAAUCAAAUUUCAGUGCAGAUGAUUAGGCCUAUUUGGACUACCGUCAAUCAGCUAAUUAUAACGGAGACUAGUACCUGGGAUAGGGAGCUGGUUCAUAACUUAGUGGACGAGAGUACAGCUGAUCGUAUUUUCGCUAUUCCCAUUUCUGGAAGUGGUCCGGAGGAUAGGUUGGUUUGGAAACAUGAGGGUUCUAGGGAAUACUCUGUUAAGAGUGGGUAUCGGGCUCUUAAUACAGACUACUUACGAGGCUCUACUUACAGGUCCUCUUUUGGUGAGGAUUACAAAGUUUUUUACAAUGAUUUACGGUCAUUGAACAUUCUAGGGAAAAUUAAAAUACAUAUUUGGAGGCUGGUGAAUAAUUUGGUGCCUCACUUUGGUAAUUUGGCGUGUAGGACUUUGUGUGUAAAAGUAUCGUGUCCGCUGUGUAAGGAAGAGCUGGAGGAUUUUGAUCACCUAUUGUGGUCUUGUGGUAUCUGGUAGAGGGUGUAGGCAUCGUUAACAGUGAAGAUUCCUUCAUUCGAAGAAUCGGAGGGUCAUACGCUCCGUUUUGUUAAAAUGUUCUCUACAGCUGAUGAACAACAAAAACAAAUCAUUGUGAUAUCCAUGUGGAGUCUUUGGUUCCAUGAAAAUAAGCUAGUUCAUGAAGGGGUUAAAUUCUCGAUGCAGGAGGUGUUGGGGUUUAUACGGGGAUAUGUGCAUAAAAUUUGUCUUAAUUAUAUGUCUCUUUGUUCCUCUCGUAGACUACUGAUUAAGGAGAUCUGGAGACCACCGAACCAAGGAGUUAUCAAGUUAAACUUUGAUGCGUCUCUCCUAAAGGAAGAGAAGCUCGCUGUAACAGCAGUUCUAGCCAGAGAUUUUACAGGUGAGAUUGUAGGGGCAGAAACUUAUCUUUUUAAAGAUGUCGCCUACGCGUUUGUGGCAGAAGCAAGGGCUUGUGAAAGGGCGUUAAUCUUCGCGAGUAUAAUGUGUUUCCAUCGACUGGUUGUGGAAGGCGAUUCACUGACAGUUAUAAAAAAUGUUCAAAAGAAGGAGAAAGAUAAAUCGGUGCUCACACUGAUUACACAUCACAUCUAUAAUUUGGGUAUGUUUUUUGAUGAGAUAUCUUACCUUGCAGUGCCUCGAUUGAUUAAUGAGGCAGCUCAUACACUGGCGUUGGAGGGUCGGAGACGAAAGAUCUAUGGGG